rnacentral:rRNA from 1 species
UACGUAGGGAGCAGGCGUUGUCCGGAAUCAUUGGGCGUAAAGCGCGCGUAGGCGGCCCUUGUAAGUCCGUUGUGAAAGUCAAAGGCUCAACCUUUGAAAGCCGAUGGAUACUGCAGGGCUGGAGUCCGGAAGAGGCGAGUGGAAUUCCUGGUGUAGCGGUGAAAUGCGCAGAUAUCAAGGAGGAACACCAAUGGCGAAGGCAGCUCGCUGGGACGGUAACUGACGCUGGAGACGCGAAAGCGUGGGGAGCAAACGG